GACUACAGCUAUACCACACUGAACAUGCCCAAUCUCGUCUGAUCUCAGAAGCUAAACAGGGUAGGGCCUGGUUAGUACUUGGGUGGGAGAGGGAAAGGGAGAGAGGGAGGGAGGAAGGGA
rfam:Erinaceus europaeus unplaced genomic scaffold scaffold00931, whole genome shotgun sequence